rnacentral:rRNA from 1 species
CUCAGUGCUUGACUGAACCGCGAACGGCUCAUUACACCAGUGGUAAUCUACUUGAUCUUGACCACCUACUUGGAUAACUGUGGUAAUUCUAGAGCUAAUACAUGCACCAAAGCUCCGACCGCAAGGAAGGAGCGCAUUUGUUCGCCACAAAACCAAGCGCCUUCGGGCGUCCAAUGUUGACUCAGAACAACUAAGCUGAGCGAACGGUCUUGCACCGUCGCCGUGUCUUUCGAGCUUCUGCCUUAUCAACUUUCGACGGUAGUGUAUCGGCCUACCGUGGUGGUGACGGGUAACGGAGGAUAAGGGUUCGACUCCGGAGAGGGGGCCUGAGAAAUGGCCACCACGUCUAAGGAUGGCAGCAGGCGCGCAAAUUACCCACUCUCAGUAUGAGGAGGUAGUGACGAGAAAUAACAAGCCUGUUCUCAUACGAGGCCAGGCAUUGGAAUGGGUGCGGUUUACAACCCCCAACGAGUAUCUAUGAGAGGGCAAGUCUGGUGCCAGCAGCCGCGGUAAUUCCAGCUCUCAAAAUGCAUAGAAUUAUUGCUGCGGUUAAAAAGCUCGUAGUUGGAUCUCCGUCGAGUCGCCGGUCCAUCUUCGGAUGUGUACUGGUCGGCUUGGCUUUCUGCUGGUUUUUCCUGGCGGUGUGUUUAAUCGCGCGCCGUCAAGGGGCUGGCGAGUUUACUUUGAACAAAUCAGAGUGCUUAAAACAGGCGUCUCGCCUGAAUGUUCUUGCAUGGAAUAAUAGAAGAGGAUUUCGGUUCGAUUUUAUUGGCUUUGCGGACUGAGAUAAUGGUUAACAGAGAUAGACGGGGGCAUUCGUAUUGCCGCGUGAGAGGUGAAAUUCUUGGACCGCGGCAAGACGGACUACAGCGAAAGCAUCUGCCAAGAAUAUUUUCAUUAAUCAAGAACGAAAGUCAGAGGUUCGAAGGCGAUCAGAUACCGCCCUAGUUCUGACCGUAAACGAUGCCAACUAGCGAUCCGCCGGCGGAGCAAUUCGCCCUGGUGGGGAGCUUCCCGGAAACGAAAGUCUUCCGGUUCCGGGGGAAGUAUGGUUGCAAAGCUGAAACUUAAAGGAAUUGACGGAAGGGCACCACCAGGAGUGGAGCCUGCGGCUUAAUUUGACUCAACACGGGGAAACUCACCCGGCCCGGACACCGUAAGGAUUGACAGAUUAACAGCUUUUUCAUGAUUCGGUGGAUGGUGGUGCAUGGCCGUUCUUAGUUCGUGGAGCGAUCUGUCUGGUUUAUUCCGAUAACGAGCGAGACUCCAACCUGCUAAAUAGCCGGCAGAUUGCCAAUGUCUGUAUGGCUUCUUAGAGGGAUCAUCGGUGUUCAGCCGCACGAGAUGGAGCGAUAACAGGUCUGUGAUGCCCUUAGAUGUCCGGGGCUGCACGCGCGCUACACUGGCAAAAUCAGCGUGCUUGUCCUUCCCCGAAAGGGGCGGGUAAACCCGUGAAAAUUUGCCGUGAUUGGGAUCGGAAAUUGCAAUUAUUUUCCGUGAACGAGGAAUUCCAAGUAAGUGCGAGUCAUCAACUCGCGUUGAUUACGUCCCUGCCCUUUGUACACACCGCCCGUCGCUGCCCGGGACUGAGCCAAUUCGAGAAAUCCGGGGAUCGCUGGCGCCGUGCUUUCGGGCCCGGUGCCGGUGAAAACCGGCUUAAUCGCAUCGGUUUGAACCGGGCAAAAGUCGUACAAAGGGU